AACGCACCUUGCGCCCCUUGGUAUUCCGAGGGGCACACCCGUUUGAGUGUCGUGAAUACUCUCAACCUUCUUGGUUUCUUUGACCACGAAGGCUUGGACUUUGGAGGUUUUUCUUGCCGGCCUCUUUUGAAGCCAGCUCCUCCUAAAUGAAUGGGUGGGGUCCGCUUUGCUGAUCCUCGACGUGAUAAGCAUUUCUUCUACGUCUUAGUGUCAGCUCGGAACCCGCUUUCCAACCGUCUUUGGACAAAGACAAUGUUCGAGUUGCGACUCGACCUUACAAACCUUGACCUCAAAUCGGGUGAGACUACCCGCUGAACUUAA
rnacentral:rRNA from 1 species